UACGUAGGGACCAAGCGUUGUCCGGAAUCAUUGGGCGUAAAGAGCUUGUAGGCGGUUUGUCGCGUCUGCUGUGAAAAUCCGGGGCUCAACCCCGGACUUGCAGUGGGUACGGGCAGACUAGAGUGUGGUAGGGGAGACUGGAAUUCCUGGUGUAGCGGUGAAAUGCGCAGAUAUCAGGAGGAACACCGAUGGCGAAGGCAGGUCUCUGGGCCACUACUGACGCUGAGAAGCGAAAGCAUGGGGAGCGAACAGG
rnacentral:rRNA from 1 species